rnacentral:rRNA from 1 species
UACAGAGGUCUCAAGCGUUGUUCGGAUUCAUUGGGCGUAAAGGGUGCGUAGGCGGCGCGGUAAGUCGGGUGUGAAAUCUCGGAGCUUAACUCCGAAACUGCAUUCGAUACUGCCGUGCUUGAGGACUGGAGAGGAGACUGGAAUUUACGGUGUAGCGGUGAAAUGCGCAGAUAUCAGGAGGAACACCAAUUGCGAAGGCAGCUCGCUGGGGACGGUACUGACGCUGAGGCGCGAAAGCGUGGGGAGCGAACAGG